rnacentral:rRNA from 1 species
UACGAAGGGGGCUAGCGUUGUUCGGAAUUACUGGGCGUAAAGCGCACGUAGGCGGAUAUUUAAGUCAGGGGUGAAAUCCCAGAGCUCAACUCUGGAACUGCCUUUGAUACUGGGUAUCUUGAGUAUGGAAGAGGUAAGUGGAAUUGCGAGUGUAGAGGUGAAAUUCGUAGAUAUUCGCAGGAACACCAGUGGCGAAAGGCGGCUUACUGGUCCAUAACUGGACG